AACGAACGCUGGCGGCAUGCCUAACACAUGCAAGUCGAACGAGAUCUUCGGGUCUAGUGGCGCACGGGUGCGUAACGCGUGGGAAUCUGCCCUUGGGUUCGGAAUAACUCGCCGAAAGGCGUGCUAAUACCGGAUGAUGUCGUAAGACCAAAGAUUUAUCGCCCAAGGAUGAGCCCGCGUAAGAUUAGGUAGUUGGUGAGGUAAAGGCUCACCAAGCCGACGAUCUUUAGCUGGUCUGAGAGGAUGAUCAGCCACACUGGGACUGAGACACGGCCCAGACUCCUACGGGAGGCAGCAGUGGGGAAUAUUGGACAAUGGGCGAAAGCCUGAUCCAGCAAUGCCGCGUGAGUGAUGAAGGCCUUAGGGUUGUAAAGCUCUUUUACCCGGGAUGAUAAUGACAGUACCGGGAGAAUAAGCCCCGGCUAACUCCGUGCCAGCCGCCGCAGUAA
rnacentral:rRNA from 1 species